rnacentral:sRNA from 1 species
ACAAAUUUCCUGAAAUACAUAAUUUUGAGUUUGGAGAAAUUUUGAUAAUUUUUGAUGACCGUGUCUCUAUAUCACAACCUUUUCUUUUUACAUUUUCAGGAGAACAAUUUCAAUGUUUUAUUCAAAACUAGUUGACAUCUUAUAUAAUAAGAGAAGGUUUUUUCCUAACUUUUCCUAACAUUGCUACAUUUGGCACUUUAUUUUGGUGACACUUGUCUUCUUCCAUUUAUUACUUUGUUUCUUCCAAUUUAUAUCUUCUUUUUAGUAUUUAAUUCCAAAAAAUCAUAUUUAUCCAUUUCGGAUAUAUUUUUAAAUUGAUUUUUGUCUUCUAAUAUUUUUAGUUAAAAAUAAUAUCUUCUUAUUAUCACAUAU